CAGGAGGAGCACAACCCGUUUACCCAUGGCUUCAACGUAAUAAUGGAAACUCCAGGACAAAUUUUUUUGAUUCGGCAAACAUUCGUGCAAAGAAAAAUUUGGGAAGACGGAGGAUGUGCCAGAUACAUCCAACGAAUUGCGCAAACCAAUGGCAAGAUGAUGUGUUCGGACGAAAGCGACAAGCCAUCGUAAGGAAACGAAUAUCUGAUUUAAUUCGGCUCCCAGCAGCCAACGACCAUGACUGAUGUUUUACCUACGAAUCUGCCUUGGUUUUAUUUCUAUUUAUUUCUGGGACACUAUUGGGACACCUCCGCAGUUGAUAUCUUUCUUCAAGUUUCUUUACAAGCCAGCCGACCGCAUUUGCAUUGUCACCAUGGAAACAGCACUCACACGUCACGUGACUUCAACCAUUUUUCACGGCGCCACCGAUUAUGACCGUUGUCACAUGACUGCGUAACGGGAAUCAUUGUCUGACCUUUCAAAUAAGCCUAAUGGUUCAGUGUCGGAAUCUUCGGGGGGGGGGGAGGGACAGGGGGCACAUCC